GGGGAGGCAGAAUCCAGAAUAAAUCUCUAUGUUUAGUACAGACAACAAUCAAAAGUUUACUGAAAAAAAACUACUGUCAAGGUUUGUACAAGAUGCACAUAAAGGGAUGACAGAAUGCACAUGAUUCAAAUAUUGCAUGCCCGUGCCCUGCAAAUGCUUAAUUACUUGUAACCUUACAUAUAUUCGCUGCAGAAGCACAAGCUAGCUAUUAU
rnacentral:lncRNA from 1 species